rnacentral:misc_RNA from 1 species
UACGAAGGUGGCAAGCGUUGUUCGGAUUCACUGGGCGUACAGGGAGCGUAGGCGGUUGGGUAAGCCCUCCGUGAAAUCUCCGGGCCUAACCCGGAAAGUGCAGAGGGAACUGCUCAGCUAGAGGAUGGGAGAGGAGCGCGGAAUUCCCGGUGUAGCGGUGAAAUGCGUAGAGAUCGGGAGGAAGGCCGGUGGCGAAGGCGGCGCUCUGGAACAUUUCUGACGCUGAGGCUCGAAAGCCAGGGGAGCAAAGGGG